AUUGAACGCUGGCGGCAUGCCUUACACAUGCCAGUCGAACGGCAGCACGGGGGGUAACCCCUGGUGGCGAGUGGCGAACGGGUGAGUAAUAUAUCGGAACGUGUCCUGUAGCGGGGGAUAACCUAUCGAAAGAUGGACUAAUACCGCAUACGACCUACGGGUGAAAGCGGAGGCCCGCAAGGCUUCGCACUAUAGGAGCGGCCGAUAUCGGAUUAGCUAGUUGGCGGGGUAACGGCCCACCAAGGCGACGAUCCGUAGCUGGUCUGAGAGGACGAUCAGCCACACUGGAACUGAGACACGGUCCAGACUCCUACGGGAGGCAGCAGUGGGGAAUUUUGGACAAUGGGCGCAAGCCUGAUCCAGCCAUGCCGCGUGAGUGAAGAAGGCCUUCGGGUUGUAAAGCUCUUUCGGCGGGGACGAAACGGUUCGUGCUAAUACCACGGACUACUGACGGUACCCGCAGAAGAAGCACCGGCUAACUACGUG
rnacentral:rRNA from 1 species